GUGUCAGCAGCCGCGGUAAUACGGAGGGGGCGAGCGUUGUUCGGAUUCAUUGGGCGUAAAGGGGGCCUAGGCGGCCUCGCAAGUCAGACGUGAAAGCCCACGGCUCACCCGUGGAAUUGCGUUUGAAACUGCCUGGCUUGAGUACGGGAGAGGAGAGUGGAAUUCUCGGUGUAGCGGUGGAAUGUGUAGAUAUCGAGAAGAACACCGGUGGCGAAGGCGACUCUCUGGACCGUCACUGACGCUGAAGCCCGAAAGCCGGGGGAGCAAACAGGCUUAGAUACCCUGGUAGUCCCGGCCCUAAACGAUGUGCACUGGGUGUUGGAGGUAUCGACCCCUCCAGUGCCGAAGCUAACGCAUUAAGUGCACCGCCUGGGGAGUACGGUCGCAAGGCUGAAACUUAAAUGAAUUGACGGGG
rnacentral:rRNA from 1 species